rnacentral:rRNA from 1 species
AACAGGAUUAGAUACCCUGGUAGUCCACGCCGUAAACGAUGUCGACUUGGAGGUUGUGCCCUUGAGGCGUGGCUUCCGGAGCUAACGCGUUAAGUCGACCGCCUGGGGAGUACGGCCGCAAGGUUAAAACUCAAAUGAAUUGACGGGGGCCCGCACAAGCGGUGGAGCAUGUGGUUUAAUUCGAUGCAACGCGAAGAACCUUACCUGGUCUUGACAUCCACGGAAGUUUUCAGAGAUGAGAAUGUGCCUUCGGGAACCGUGAGACAGGUGCUGCAUGGCUGUCGUCAGCUCGUGUUGUGAAAUGUUGGGUUAAGUCCCGCAACGAGCGCAACCCUUAUCCUUUGUUGCCAGCGGUCCGGCCGGGAACUCAAAGGAGACUGCCAGUGAUAAACUGGAGGAAGGUGGGGAUGACGUCAAGUCAUCAUGGCCCUUACGACCAGGGCUACACACGUGCUACAAUGGCGCAUACAAAGAGAAGCGACCUCGCGAGAGCAAGCGGACCUCAUAAAGUGCGUCGUAGUCCGGAUUGGAGUCUGCAACUCGACUCCAUGAAGUCGGAAUCGCUAGUAAUCGUGGAUCAGAAUGCCACGGUGAAUACGUUCCCGGGCCUUGUACACACCGCCCGCCACACCAUGGGAGUGGGUUGCAAAAGAAGUAGGUAGCUUAACCUUCGGGAGGGCGCUUACCACUUUGUGAUUCAUGACUGGGGUGAAGUCGUAACAAGGUAACC